CAGUCGCCGCGGUAAUACGGAGGAUCCAAGCGUUAUCCGGAUUUAUUGGGUUUAAAGGGUGCGUAGGCGGCCUAUUAAGUCAGGGGUGAAAGACGGUAGCUCAACUAUCGCAGUGCCUUUGAUACUGAUAGGCUUGAAUGUACUUGAAGUGGGCGGAAUGUGACAAGUAGCGGUGAAAUGCAUAGAUAUGUCACAGAACACCGAUUGCGAAGGCAGCUCACUAAAGUAUGAUUGACGCUGAGGCACGAAAGCGUGGGGAUCAAACAGGAUUAGAUACCCGCGUAGUCCCUGUCUCUUAUAC
rnacentral:rRNA from 1 species